rnacentral:lncRNA from 1 species
CUUGUUUCCGCCUUUUCGUUUUGCAUAAAACGCUUUUCAAGGUUUUCAAGGAAAAUUACCCAAUAGUAUGCUUGUCUCCGCCUUUUCGUUUUGAAGAAAACGCUGUUCGAGGUUAUCAAGGAAAACUUUGGCAACAGGUUCAUCAUUCAUAGUGCCCCUGAAUGACUUUGGAAUUGCACGCUUCAUGAUCAUGAGACUCAUGCGAUUCGAGCGUUCCCACUUCUCCAUCACCCUCUUUUCAUUAGGAGAGGAUGUAUCCUCAAGAGGAGUAGGUUGCUCGAUCCGAAGGGCUAAGUCAAGAUCCAUGCAACCGAGAACGAUCAUUACAUUCUCUUUCCAUUCCUUAAAGUUAGUGCCGUUAAGCACAGAGAUGCUAUUGAUGUUGGCAGAUAUCGUUGAAGCAGAAGAAUUAACUGAAAAUAGAACAAAAGGAUUACUGAAUACAUGUUUACAAAUACUUGAACUUUAAGUUUACUUUAUAGAAUCAAAAUUAGGCAUUUCCCAUUACAAGAUACCAAGCACAACAUUGAUUUUAGUCUUUGGACAGAAAAACAACUUGUAAGUGGUACUCUUGGUGUAGUGAUCAAACAUAGACA